rnacentral:ncRNA from 1 species
UAGAGUUUGAUUCUUGCUUAUUUAUUAAUUUAUUAAAUGUUUUUAUAUGUAUUUUUUUUAUGAAUUAUUAAAUUAGCAGUAAUUAAUUUUAGAUAAAAAUUUUUGGUUUUUUUUAGUAAUUUAAUUAAGAUAGAUAAAUAUUGUGCCAGCAUUCGCGGUUAAACAGUAUAUUUAAUUUAAUAAUUUUGGUUUAUUACAAUUUUUAAUUUUAAAAGAUUUUAAGUUAAAUUUAUUAAGGUGGAAUAUUUAUAAGUUUAAUAGUUUCUUUGUUUUAAUUUUGUGAAAUCUUUAUUUUAAACUAGGAUUAGAUACCCUAUUAUUUAAGAUUUAAAUUAAUUCCUGAAUAUUAAUAGUUAUGUUCUUUAAAACUCAAAGAAUUUGGCGGUAAUUUAUUUCUUUUUAGAGGAACCUGUAUUAUAAUUGAUAAACCACGAUAGGAAAAACCUUUAUUUUAUUUGUAUAUCUCUAUAUUUAAGAAUAUUUUUAUAGGAAUUAUUUUCUUUUUCUUUUACUAAGAUAAAUAUUAGGUCAAGGUGCAGUUUUAUAAAGGUAAAUAUGGGUUACAUUAUUUGUUUUUAUAUUUGAAUUUAUAAAAAAUUUUUUUAAUGAAAUAGGAUUUAAUAGUAAUUUUAAUAAAUUAAUUAUUUUGAAUAAAGUUCUAUAUUAUGUACAUAUCGCCCGUCACUCCUAAUUUAUAUUAGGAUAAGUCGUAACAUAGUAGUUGUACCGGAAGGUGUAGCUAGAAUUAAAAUUUA